rnacentral:rRNA from 1 species
GACGAACGCUGGCGGCGUGCUUAACACAUGCAAGUCGAACGGAAAGGCCCUGCUUUUGUGGGGUGCUCGAGUGGCGAACGGGUGAGUAACACGUGAGUAACCUGCCCUUGACUUUGGGAUAACUUCAGGAAACUGGGGCUAAUACCGGAUAGGAGCUCCUGCUGCAUGGUGGGGGUUGGAAAGUUUCGGCGGUUGGGGAUGGACUCGCGGCUUAUCAGCUUGUUGGUGGGGUAGUGGCUUACCAAGGCUUUGACGGGUAGCCGGCCUGAGAGGGUGACCGGCCACAUUGGGACGGAGAUACGGCCCAGACUCCUACGGGAGGCAGCAGUGGGGAAUAUUGCACAAUGGGCGGAAGCCUGAUGCAGCAACGCCGCGUGCGGGAGGACGGCCUUCGGGUUGGAAACCGCUUUCGCCUGUGACGAAGCGUGAGUGACGGUAAUGGGUAAAGAAGCACCGGCUAACUACGU